CCUACGUGGGGCAGCAGUGAGGAAUAUUGGUCAAUGGACGAGAGGCUGAACCAGCCAAGUAGCGUGAAGGAUGACUGCCCUAUGGGUUGUAAACUUCUUUUAUAAAGGAAUAAAACGAGGCACGUGUGCCUUUUUGCAUGUACUUUAUGAAUAAGGAUCGGCUAACUCCGUGCCAGCAGCCGCGGUAAUACGGAGGAUCCGAGCGUUAUCCGGAUUUAUUGGGUUUAAAGGGAGCGUAGAUGGGUUGUUAAGUCAGUUGUGAAAGUUUGCGGCUCAACCGUAAAAUUGCAAUUGAGACUGGCAGUCUUGAGUACAGUUGAGGUAGGCGGAAUUCGUGGUGUAGCGGUGAAAUGCUUAGAUAUCACGAAGAACCCCGAUUGCGAAGGCAGCUUACUAAACUGUGACUGACAUUGAUGCUCGAAAGUGUGGGUAUCAAACAGGAUUAGAUACCCCUGUAGUC
rnacentral:rRNA from 1 species